ACCAUCCUCCAAGGCUAAAUACUCCUGACUGACCGAUAGUGAACCAGUACCGUGAGGGAAAGGCGAAAAGAACCCCGGCGAGGGGAGUGAAAAAGAACCUGAAACCGUGUACGUACAAGCAGUGGGAGCACGCUUAGGCGUGUGACUGCGUACCUUUUGUAUAAUGGGUCAGCGACUUAUAUUCUGUAGCAAGGUUAACCGAAUAGGGGAGCCGAAGGGAAACCGAGUCUUAACUGGGCGUUAAGUUGCAGGGUAUAGACCCGAAACCCGGUGAUCUAGCCAUGGGCAGGUUGAAGGUUGGGUAACACUAACUGGAGGACCGAACCGACUAAUGUUGAAAAAUUAGCGGAUGACUUGUGGCUGGGGGUGAAAGGCCAAUCAAACCGGGAGAUAGCUGGUUCUCCCCGAAAGCUAUUUAGGUAGCGCCUCGUGAAUUCAUCUCCGGGGGUAGAGCACUGUUUCGGCAAGGGGGUCAUCCCGACUUACCAACCCGAUGCAAACUGCGAAUACCGGAGAAUGUUAUCACGGGAGACACACGGCGGGUGCUAACGUCCGUCGUGAAGAGGGAAACAACCCAGACCGCCAGCUAAGGUCCCAAAGUCAUGGUUAAGUGGGAAACGAUGUGGGAAGGCCCAGACAGCCAGGAUGUUGGCUUAGAAGCAGCCAUCAUUUAAAGAAAGCGUAAUAGCUCACUGGUCGAGUCGGCCUGCGCGGAAGAUGUAACGGGGCUAAACCAUGCACCGAAGCUGCGGCAGCGACGCUGAUGCGUUGUUGGGUAGGGGAGCGUUCUGUAAGCCUGUGAAGGUGUGCUGUGAGGCAUGCUGGAGGUAUCAGAAGUGCGAAUGCUGACAUAAGUAACGAUAAAGCGGGUGAAAAGCCCGCUCGCCGGAAGACCAAGGGUUCCUGUCCAACGUUAAUCGGGGCAGGGUGAGUCGACCCCUAAGGCGAGGCCGAAAGGCGUAGUCGAUGGGAAACAGGUUAAUAUUCCUGUACUUGGUGUUACUGCGAAGGGGGGACGGAGAAGGCUAUGUUGGCCGGGCGACGGUUGUCCCGGUUUAAGCGUGUAGGCUGGUUUUCCAGGCAAAUCCGGAAAAUCAAGGCUGAGGCGUGAUGACGAGGCACUACGGUGCUGAAGCAACAAAUGCCCUGCUUCCAGGAAAAGCCUCUAAGCAUCAGGUAACAUCAAAUCGUACCCCAAACCGACACAGGUGGUCAGGUAGAGAAUACCAAGGCGCUUGAGAGAACUCGGGUGAAGGAACUAGGCAAAAUGGUGCCGUAACUUCGGGAGAAGGCACGCUGAUAUGUAGGUGAAGUCCCUCGCGGAUGGAGCUGAAAUCAGUCGAAGAUACCAGCUGGCUGCAACUGUUUAUUAAAAACACAGCACUGUGCAAACACGAAAGUGGACGUAUACGGUGUGACGCCUGCCCGGUGCCGGAAGGUUAAUUGAUGGGGUCAGCGCAAGCGAAGCUCUUGAUCGAAGCCCCGGUAAACGGCGGCCGUAACUAUAACGGUCCUAAGGUAGCGAAAUUCCUUGUCGGGUAAGUUCCGACCUGCACGAAUGGCGUAAUGAUGGCCAGGCUGUCUCCACCCGAGACUCAGUGAAAUUGAACUCGCUGUGAAGAUGCAGUGUACCCGCGGCAAGACGGAAAGACCCCGUGAACCUUUACUAUAGCUUGACACUGAACAUUGAGCCUUGAUGUGUAGGAUAGGUGGGAGGCUUUGAAGUGUGGACGCCAGUCUGCAUGGAGCCGGCCUUGAAAUACCACCCUUUAAUGUUUGAUGUUCUAACGUUGACCCGUUAUCCGGGUUGCGGACAGUGUCUGGUGGGUAGUUUGACUGGGGCGGUCUCCUCCUAAAGAGUAACGGAGGAGCACGAAGGUUGGCUAAUCCUGGUCGGACAUCAGGAGGUUAGUGCAAUGGCAUAAGCCAGCUUGACUGCGAGCGUGACGGCGCGAGCAGGUGCGAAAGCAGGUCAUAGUGAUCCGGUGGUUCUGAAUGGAAGGGCCAUCGCUCAACGGAUAAAAGGUACUCCGGGGAUAACAGGCUGAUACCGCCCAAGAGUUCAUAUCGACGGCGGUGUUUGGCACCUCGAUGUCGGCUCAUCACAUCCUGGGGCUGAAGUAGGUCCCAAGGGUAUGGCUGUUCGCCAUUUAAAGUGGUACGCGAGCUGGGUUUAGAACGUCGUGAGACAGUUCGGUCCCUAUCUGCCGUGGGCGCUGGAGAACUGAGGGGGGCUGCUCCUAGUACGAGAGGACCGGAGUGGACGCAUCACUGGUGUUCGGGUUGUCAUGCCAAUGGCACUGCCCGGUAGCUAAAUGCGGAAGAGAUAAGUGCUGAAAGCAUCUAAGCACGAAACUUGCCCCGAGAUGAGUUCUCCCUGACUCCUUGAGAGUCCUGAAGGAACGUUGAAGACGACGACGUUGAUAGGCCGGGUGUGUAAGCGCAGCGAUGCGUUGAGCUAACCGGUACUAAUGAACCGUGAG
rnacentral:rRNA from 1 species